GCAAGCUGCAGGAAGAGGAAGUUCGCCGACGUAUUGAAGCUGUAUUUCAGUCGGAUCAGUCAGUCAGCGGCGAGACAGCAUGGAGGCUCCAGCUCUCUGCUUCACACUGGUGAUGCUCCGGGUUAUUGAGCUGAAGGCACAGGUGCAAAACUCUCAGAAAGGCACUUUCCUUCAUAUCCUCCCAAACAAAGUGCAGCACUUGCAGUACCAUCCUGUUUCUUUCCACUGUGGAGGAUUCAAAGGACUGGUUCAGUUGAGAGCAAUAAAGAACAACGAAGAACCAGUAUCAUUUUGCAAAAUUAAAAGAACAUCAGCAGGUUUCUCCUGCAGUGUGGAUACAGUUUAUCCAGAGGACAGCGGAGAAUACUGGUGUGAAACUACACGAGGAGAAAGAAGCAACUCUGUCAACGU